CCUCAAUGCUCUGCUUGCAAUCACACACGGAUAUGAUAAACCAGCGCUGAAUGCACCGGGACUCAGCUCUCACCAUGGCGGAAGAAGACGACGCCAGGAUACGGAUUUUACAGAGUCUGCGGGGGAAAAUCUGUGAAGCUAAAAAUCUGGCUCCAGUUUCUGGACCAAAUCGUCAAAGGGAUCUCAGUACAUUCUGCACCAUAAGCCUGGAUCAGGAGGAGGUUUAUCGCACAAAGGUCUUUGAUAAAAGCGUCAGCCCUUUCUAUGGAGAGGAUUUUUACUUCGAAAUCCCACGGCCAUUUCAGUGUUUAUCCUUCUACGUUUAUGCCAAAAGCGUUUUUCAAAGGGAACUCCCAAUAGGCAAAGUGUCAAUACGAAAGGAUGACCUGUGUAAAUACACUGGGAAAGAAGACUGGUUUAGCCUACAGCCAGUCGACCCCAACUCUGAAGUCCAGGGUAAAGUUCAUCUGGAAAUGAGGCUGGAUGAAGUUAUCACAGAAAAUGGCUCAUUGUGUCAACAUUUACGAGUCAGAAAAUUAGAGUGCCAAGGACUGCCAUUGAUAAGUGGGCAGAACUGUGACCCAUAUGCAACAGUGUCACUUGUUGGACCAGCUAGGUCUGACCAGAAGAAAACAAAAGUUAAGAAGAAAACAAGUAAUCCUCAAUUUGAAGAGACAUUUUUAUUUGAAGUCACAAGGUCGAGCAGCUACUCAAAGAAGUCCCAUUUCCAGGUGGAGGAGGAGGAUAUUGAGAAACUGGAAAUUAAAGUGGAAUUGUGGAACAAUGAGAAUCUCGCUCAGGAUGUGUUUUUGGGAGAGACACGGGUUCCUGUGAAGAUACUGCAGAAUGACCACAUUCACAAAGCCUGGUAUUUACUUCAGCCAAAAGGGAAUGGCAACAAGUCUAAGUCCGAUGAUUUGGGAUCAUUGCGUUUGAGGCUGACCUACAUAGAAGACACAGUGCUGCCCUCUGCCUGCUAUACUCCGCUCUGCAACCUGCUGCUCAAAUCCCCUGAUGUGAAGCCCAUCUCGGCAUCAGUGGCACAUAUUCUGGGGGAGAUCUGUCGAGAGCGAUAUGAGGCUGUACUGCCCAUGGUGCGCCUCCUGCUCUACCACAGUCGCUUUGUGCCUUUUGUGUCGGCUGUGGCUGCGCUUGAACUGGACAACACUCAGGAGGCAAACACUAUUUUCCGCGGCAACUCCUUGGCGACGCGGUGCAUUGACGACAUGAUGAAGAUUGUAGGAAAGAACUACCUGGCAGUUACCUUGAAGCCAGUGAUAGACGAGAUCUGUGACGCCAAUAAAACGUGUGAGAUUGACCCGGUGCGACUCAAAGAAGGAGACAGCAUCGAGGCCAACAAGGACAGUCUCCAGGUUUAUGUUCAGAAGGUCUUCUCCUCCAUCACCCAGUCCAGUGCCAACUGCCCCCCUCUCAUGUGCGAUGUCUUCAGGUCUCUCCGACAUCUGGCCUGCAAACGAUUCCCAGCCGACCCACAUGUGCAGUAUUCUGCUGUGAGCAGCUUCGUGUUCUUGCGCUUUUUUGCUGUUGCUGUACUUUCGCCUCACUCCUUUCAGCUCCGCUCCCAUCACCCUGACCCAGAUAUCUCACGGACACUCACUCUCAUCUCUAAAACCAUCCAGACUCUGGGCAGCUGGGGCAGUUUGUCUAAAAAACUGUCUAGUUUUAAGGAAACAUAUAUGUACGACUUCUACAAAUCAUUCCAAGAAGAGAAGUGCAUUGAAAAGGUUAAAAAGUUUCUUGAUGAGAUUUCAUCAAAUAUCAACAAGGAAUUCAGUGGUGUGGAGGAUGCCCUGGUUCUCAAGGAGGGAGAAGUUCAGAAACGUGCCCAAGGGAGAAAACGUCUUGGCAAGAAAAACUUUAAGAAAAGAUGGCUUCGAGUCACCAAUAGAGAGCUGUCUUAUCAUAAGCAUAAAGGGAAAGAGGCCCUCUGCACCAUAAGUGUCAAAAACAUCCAGGCUGUGGAGAAACUGGAUGAAAGUGCCUUUAACCGCAAAAAUAUGUUUCAGGUGAUGCACUCAGAGAAGCCCCUAUACGUACAAGCAGGAAACUGUGUGGAGGCCAGUGAAUGGCUGGAGGUGCUGGGCCAGGUGAGCCGCUGUAACCAGGGCCGUCUGGAGAGUUUUCACCCAUCCACCUUCAGCGGGGGAGUGUGGCAGUGCUGCAGGAGCCAGAACAGCAGUGCACCGGGCUGCAGGCCAUGCACCACCACGAUGCUGGCCAACCUGCAGCUUGACAUUGACUGUGAUCGAGAAACAGAGAGGAUCUUCUCUCUUCUGUCCUUAAAUGACACCAAGCUCCAAAACAUGGAGGGUGAGUACUCUAAGAUGCUUGUGCCACCUUGGCGGUGUACCAGGGCCCUCAGCGGGAGCAGGACGAGUACUCCAAAUUCACCAUUCAGGAACCCAAAGAGACCUUUCAGACACUCAAACAGCUGCGCAACGUGAUGGAGGAGCUGCAGCGGCAGCACAACCUGCGGGGGGACACCACAGCACAGUACGGCAGUCUGGACAAUCCCAUCAUAGGGAAGACCUCAUAGGUGACAUAAGUAGAGGAGAAGUGGAGUGAAGUCCAGUGGACCUGGAGUGGACCACAGAGCCGCUGGUCCUGAACUGUGGAAACACGACCACCAAGAGUCAAAUGUGAAGAAGCCUGUGGCGCACAGGACCCAGAGGCACAGAAGAGUUUGGCAUUACGCCUCAUUCUCCCCAUUUUGAAUCAUGGGCACAUUGCAGGGGAGUCUAUGUUGAAAUUAUUUAUAUCAUAUCAUCAAUGCCCUUUUUCAUAUCCAAAGCUGUGUGAAGAAGGCAUCAUUAGAUGGUGUGUGAAUAGGCUGCUAAUUUUUUUAUUCAUCCACUUUUAUAUGAAUACCUGUGAUCAUUGAAAUGGGUCCUAUAAGGGUAAUGGUCUAUUCAGAGACAAGACGGGCCAUCUACUUUUGACCCUUACCUUGCCCAUAGUGUCUUUACCUUUCCAAUGAAUGUAUAUAUUUCAUCUUUAGAUACACUUACUUUUCGAGUUUUUACGGUGAGUAGAUCAGACCAAUCUGCCUUACUUUGAUGGAUGUUUUUUCUCACAUUAAAUGCUGAGGGAAUAAUGCAAAGCACUUUAAAUAUUUGGAGCUUUCCAAAUGGACAUGACUAGAUACUUAGUAUCAGCUCCCCCUUGGAUCAGUUCCAUGAUCUCCAGUACGUGUUGUUCAUUCAGUUAUAUGACAUUUGUUGCCUGUAGAUAUAAAGAUAUUUUUCUUGACCAAAGAAAAUUUCAUAGAUUUGACUUGAAAAGGAAAAAAUAAUUAAUGUAUUUUCAUGACAGAUGUUUUAAAAUGGACAAGUCUCUAUUCGUGUAUGUGUGUUUAACAUAUCAUUUAUUUGAAGUUGGAUGUGUUCAGAGAGAGAGAGAGAGAGAGCUCUGGUUCUCUGGCUGUGGUGUCUUUGUCAUUCUUUGUGGUACUGCGACAUCCCAUGUGGACGGCCAUAUUGAAAGCAUUAAACUCGUGCAAGGGCCUAAGUGACAAGUGACGGUGCUAACAUGAACAGUAUGAAUCACCUAAUAACAGCCAACUAACAUAAAACAUAUUACUGUUUUAGCCAUUUAACACCUUGCUCUUUACUGCCAGGACCAACAAACCAAUUCAUUUAUUUUGAUUAUAAUUUUAAGAAGAAAACACCAGCACAUGUUUAAUAUAUAUAGUAAUUGAGUGUGGUUUUGUCAAAUUUAUUCAGCAUUCACCAUCAAACUUGACCAUAUCAUGUUCCCUAUUGCCUAUAUACGAACAAUGAAGUGUUAAUACAAGACAUACAAGGCUUGAAUACUCUUUGACAUAUGAUGGACCAGUCGAUAAUGUAAAGGGGGUCUUUGCCCUCCUGUCUAUGUGUUUUAUUUAACUGUUUUAUCAAUGUGUAAUGCCACUGUUCUGACAUCUGUCCUUUUUUCCACUAUUUUAUUCAGCAAGACCAGUCAUUCCAGAAAAAUACAUUCUCAACCAGAUUAAACCAAUUUCAGUUGCUGUGAAAAUUGAAUCAAAUUUAGGCAAUUUAUGCAUUUUGGAUAGUUGAAAUUGGUUUGUUUCCUCAUACGAGUAGCUAGUGUACGGUACAUGAGCAUAAAACAUGACGUUAUAGUUUGUCAUGACAAAAAGCUCUCAAAUCAAGCAUCUUGGAUUAUUCAGUUCUUCAGGUUGUUUGUUCCAACUUGAAACAUUUCUGGAUUUUGACAAUUCACAAAACCACUUCAGCAGCAGCAGUUUAAUCCUGUUUACAGACAUGACAUUACACCAGACAAGCUCAUUCUCAGUGCCAGUUCAAUGAAGACUUCUGUUUUAAGGGAACAUUUUGCCUCCUGUGCACAAUAAUCACAAUUUUUUUUUUUAUUUUAAAGCUAAAUUUGACAGUGUGUAGUUUUCGGUACAUGAAGUGCAUUUAAAACUGUACUUCUUAUGAACAAAUCUAAGGGAGAAACUAAAAAUGCUUUAACUUAUCUGGUAAAUAAGCUGUCCGUGCAACCUCCCCAUUGCCGAUAUACUUCAAAACAUUUCAGUUUUGUAUGGUUUUACUGUUGUUUUUAUGUCGGAAUAUGUAAGGAAUCCUCAAAACUCCAUAAAAUGUGUUUUUUAAUGUUUUGUUUUCCACUUGUUUGUCACUUUUGUCCAGUUAACAAUAAACCAGUUGCCAGUCA